GUCUUCCAUUUUUUCUCUUACGCUGUGCUGUACUUAGUGUCAGGAAUAUCAAAUGCUUCAACUCCACUGUGAAAUAGAAAGCAUGACUGCCUUGCUGACCAUUUAUCUUUCACUGGUUUGAAUCCUUCCUCAGGCACAGUGCAGGGGCAAGAAGGCCAACUCCUGAAGGCCCACUUAAUUCAGCAUCUGUGGUCUAGCUGAUCGGCAUUACGUAAGAUGAACUUCAGCAUAACAUAACCAGUCCCAACUGAAAGAUUAAUUUCUGGAUCCCAGUCCUCAAAUUUCUGAAAUUGUUUCCAUUUGUUAAGGACUUUUCUCCUCCAUGAGACUUGAAACUUAUACUAAUGUCCCUUACUUACAUCCUUCCUGUGAACCUGCAGCAACUUCAUCACUGAUACAUCUGGCAAAGAAGAUGUGUUUAUUAUUGAAUAUUGCCUUCUCUUGGAGGGUAAGACAGUCUUUUUCUCUUCAUACAUAUCCAUUCUUAAUGGGUGCUUCUUUUGAGACCCAUUCUUAUUUCUGGCUCAGAAUUCCAUCUCUUGGAAUUUUACCUAAAACUUGAAUUUUAUCUAAUCUUCAUGCCUUUCCUCCACAGCUUGAAUGCCAGUCAGGCUCUACCUUAUUUCUUAUUUCUCUUCUUUUUUCUUAUUUCUGAUUUCUGACAGGAUCAGAAAUUCCAGAUGUUUUCUGAGGCUCUUUUGGUCAACACCUGAGUGAUCUGGAGAUACUGUUAUCUCUGUGUGCAGACAGUUCAUGUAGAUAAGAGGCUGCUAUGGCCUGUUUUGAGACUGCAGUCAAGGCCACGUCCAUGGUUGGAGUGAAUGCCACGAGCUCUUCAGCUGAGAAUGCUGAGGAAUUUCACCUUUCCCGUCAUCUGCCGAGCAUUCAUUUGGAGCUCUUUUCAAUUUCAUGAGACUCUAGGUCAUCCUGGGAGCAAAUGGGAAUGGCGCUGUACUUGGAAGUAUUCUUACAAUCUUUACUGGUAUGAAGAACUUCAGUUACCUCCCUGUGUGGACAUCAAGGAAGACAGAGAAUCAUUUUUCCUCUCGAGAAAGGAAUGAAAGGGAAACUACUGUAGAAGGAAGAAUUACAUGGCCAGGAAGCAGAUGUUUGUCUUCUUCAUUGAGAAUCUACACACAGUUCAUCGGAAUACAGAAAUCCGAGCUAGCUGCCUUUUGGAACACAAUGUUUAGUCAAGCUCCUUGGCCCACAAAUUUCAUCUUCUUAUCCAGUUGUCCUGCCCCAAGUGCCCCAGUUGUGCUUGGGUUCUCAAGACUCCAAAGUCAACAUCGUAGAGGCACGGGCAUGCUGAGUUUGUGGUUGAGGGCACAUCCAAAUAUUGCUACAUCCCAGAUUUGGUUCAAAUACUUAGAGUAGGCCAUUUAUUCUAAUUAAAUAAAUGACAUUUCUGCAAAGGAAAGAAGAAUGGG
rnacentral:lncRNA from 1 species